rnacentral:misc_RNA from 1 species
ACAAAAUGUCCUUUGACAAGCUUUGCGCCGGUCCGCCGGACAGAGUUCAACCUUUUGUGAAUCAAAACCCUAUUUCGCUUCGGCAGCGGGCCGGGCUCUCCUGCCCGACCGUCAGCCUGCCGGCAGCACCAAUUUAAAACUUGUAUUUAAAAACAUGUCUGAAACCAUUCUAAAUCUGAAUGAAAAUUA